rnacentral:lncRNA from 1 species
UUAUGAACAUUUUAAGUUUUAAACUAGAUCUAUUUUUCAGGUAUAGCACCAUAUGUGUAUAUUAAGUAUGGCACACAUGAAUUAAUUGGGACCCAGUCAACGUAUUGUGUUCAAAGAAGACUUAUAAAUCCAGCAGUUCAAAAACAUAUUUUGCAGUGAGACUAAUGGUGACAAAUGAUGGCUUUGUGGCGGUUAGUGAAAAACUGCGGCAUUUUACACUGAUCGUGGCUAACAUUUACAGAAAAUUUCUCAACCAAUAGUGACUUUCAGAUGAAAGUAAUAGCAUAUCUUACACUGACUAUACAUCAGAAGAUUGUUGAAAAAAAAAACAAUGGCAAAAAGUGGAAAAUAUUGAUAUACUUCAAUGACUUUGAAACUGAGUAGAAAAUGGUGACAUUUUAGCACCAUAUUGUGUGUAUACAUUUUCUGUCAUCCGCGCAGUCCGGUCAGGAUCCAUGCUGUUCGCUAAUGGUUUCUCUAAUUGCAAUAGCAUUUGAAAGUGAACAGCAUGGAUCCUGACCAGACCGCGCAGAUGCGCAGGCUGGUCUGGAUCCAUGCUGGUCGCAAAGCCACUAUGUUGGUUUUCUCCUGGCGCGGCUCAUAUAUAAGUUUGUUUCAUGCAUGUAAAUAAUGUUUUGUUUAUGGUAUUUUUUCAGCACAUGUAAUGAAACACUAAAAAAACAUAAAGUAUUUU